UAUAAAUGUUAAGAUAGCUUCCCCCUCAUUCGUUUUCUCAGUGUUCCGUUUUCUUUCAUUAAACUGUUUGCGGAGAGAAAGCGACGGCCCAUCUAGUUUAAAUUUUGGGUACACUUUUAAACCAGCUGGCGGGGCGUGGGUGGCGUAGGGCGCGCUGCAGGCUGGGUACUGGAGUUGUUUGUCCUUUUGUCGGUGAUUAUACCAGGUGGUGGAAAGGAACAGUAAACAGCGCCAUCUUCCUCCUGGUCACAAAAUUACAAGGCAUCAAUUCCAGAGAGGCCGCAGCGGGGGAGGUCGUCUGGUGGUGGCGGCGCGGCGUGGUUGCCUGCUACGUAGAACACCAUCGCCAUCCCCAUCUCAACGUGGAAGAGGCGCAUGUUCGAAGUUCCGGUUCACCUGUCCUGAGGCAUCGAGCUCCUGAACCUGUAAAGCAGAGAGAGAGAGAGAGAGAGAGAGGUUAAUUGUCUAUUCCAUUAUUCCCUGUGAACAUUUAAUAAAAGGGUUCAG